rnacentral:misc_RNA from 1 species
UAAUAAGUGUUUUAUGGCACUUUUUAAAUCCAUAUCCACCUUGUGUGCAAUGUCAGUCGAUCUUCUUCAUGGAGAUCGGCCAAACAUCAACCUUAUUUUUAACAACUUUGUCUGAAAACCUGUAUGAAUACUUAAUUCAAAUA